rnacentral:rRNA from 1 species
AUUGAACGCUGGCGGCAUGCUUUACACAUGCAAGUCGAACGGCAGCGCGGGGGCAACCCUGGCGGCGAGUGGCGAACGGGUGAGUAAUGCAUCGGAACGUAUCCUGUAAUGGGGGGAUAACGUAGCGAAAGUUACGCUAAUACCGCAUACGCUCGAGAGAGGAAAGUGGGGGAUCGCAAGACCUCACGUUAUAGGAGCGGCCGAUGUCCGAUUAGGUAGUUGGUGGGGUAAAGGCUCACCAAGCCAACGAUCUGUAGCUGGUCUGAGAGGACGACCAGCCACACUGGAACUGAGACACGGUCCAGACUCCUACGGGAGGCAGCAGUGGGGAAUUUUGGACAAUGGGCGCAAGCCUGAUCCAGCCAUUCCGCGUGCAGGAUGAAGGCC